rnacentral:rRNA from 1 species
CUUGCUAAGUUUGAUGGCGACCGGCGCACGGGUGAGUAACACGUAUCCAACCUGCCGAUGACUCGGGGAUAGCCUUUCGAAAGAAAGAUUAAUACCCGAUAGCAUAAUGAUUCCGCAUGGUUUCAUUAUUAAAGGAUUCCGGUAAAGGAUGGGGAUGCGUUCCAUUAGGUUGUUGGUGGGGUAACGGCCCACCAAGCCUUCGAUGGAUAGGGGUUCUGAGAGGAAGGUCCCCCACAUUGGAACUGAGACACGGUCCAAACUCCUACGGGAGGCAGCAUG